AAUAGAUACCCCGGUAGUCCACGCCGUAAACGAUGAGUGCUAAGUGUUAGGGGGUUUCCGCCCCUUAGUGCUGCAGCUAACGCAUUAAGCACUCCGCCUGGGGAGUACGGUCGCAAGACUGAAACUCAAAGGAAUUGACGGGGGCCCGCACAAGCGGUGGAGCAUGUGGUUUAAUUCGAAGCAACGCGAAGAACCUUACCAGGUCUUGACAUCCCAUUGACCACUAUGGAGACAUAGUUUUCCCUUCGGGGACAACGGUGACAGGUGGUGCAUGGUUGUCGUCAGCUCGUGUCGUGAGAUGUUGGGUUAAGUCCCGCAACGAGCGCAACCCUUGUUCUUAGUUGCCAUCAUUUAGUUGGGCACUCUAAGGAGACUGCCGGUGACAAACCGGAGGAAGGUGGGGAUGACGUCAAAUCAUCAUGCCCCUUAUGACCUGGGCUACACACGUGCUACAAUGGACGGUACAAACGGUUGCCAACCCGCGAGGGGGAGCUAAUCCGAUAAAACCGUUCUCAGUUCGGAUUGUAGGCUGCAACUCGCCUACA
rnacentral:rRNA from 1 species